UCCAUUUAUGUGCAUCCAUGUCCCAGAAAUGCUUGUUACUAACGUAGCUCUGGGGAGUCAUUCCACGGAGUCGUUAUGUUCUUUUACGCCCAGCAGUUUUCCUUGGAUUAGGGAGGCUCCAAAAUCAUGGUUGCUAUGCCCUGUAAUGCCCUGCUAUGACAUGAACUACUACGACUUCUAUUUCUAGUCACUGUUCCAUUGUCUGUAUUGUGACUGUUAUUGCCACUGUGCAUCACCCCCCCCCCAACCCGCCUCGUCAGACACCUACCAAGAGCCUGGGACUGUCCCAGGUUUCUUCCUAAAAGGAGUUUUUCCUCACCACUGUCGCACUCGGUCCUUGUAAAUUAUAGAGUGUGGUCUAGACCUACUCUAUCUGUAAAGUUUCUUGAGAGAACUCUUAUUAUGUAUUGAUACUAUAAAUAAAAUUGAAUUAAAUUGAAUCAUAAUAUCAGGCUGGAACUGCCUUUCCAGCUUGAGGAGAAAUGAGACCGAUUGUACAGUACCAUCAGUGUAUUUAUUGCAUUUGAUUAUAAAACAUUUUAGGAUGCAAAAGCAAUGCAUACAUACUACAUAAUAUUUCAUAGUUCUCUAUUCAAUUCAAUUCAAUUUUAUUUAUAGGCUCUUGUUAGGCUGUGUCAGAAUGUGCUAGUUGGAGGUAUGAUAUACAAUAGAAAAUAGGGCAUAGAAGAAGGGCGUAGUAGGGCAUAGUAGGGCUAAACAGAUACAAAUUGCAUCUGUCAUUAGAGAGCCAAGAAAUAUUAAAUGUACACCUCCCCAGUAUUGUUCAAAAAUAUCAUUUUCAAACAUAACUUCAGCUAGUUGGAGGGAGAGAUGGAACGCAGGGAGAUAAAGAUAAAACGUACGUGAUGUGAACAAAACGCAAAUCACCGCAUAUUAGAGCUACAUCACGUCUACAGCUUCAGUAAAAUAAUACAUUGGGGGUUAUCCAUGAAAGAUUACUGUAACAACUAAUUGCUUUUAACACAACAAAAUGCCUUGACUUUUUCAAGCGUGGAAAAUGAGAUUUUAAUAUUCCAUGACUUUUCCAGGUUUUCCUUGACCAUGUGAUGUAUAUCUGUCUGUGAAGGUCAUGUCUGUUAUUACAGUUGUGAUGUCUCCAGGCACCAUUAGAUGACUUCUAGGGGAUUUGAUGCAACUUCUGGCAGCCAUAUUGGAGAACUGUUGGCCUCAUUUGUUAUUUAGAGAUCCCCUCCUUCUAAAAAAUGUGUUUUCUAAUGUUUACGUCCCAUAAAAUAGAGGCAACGUCUGCAUACUUCUCUGAAAUCUGAGAUUCAAACAUAUCCCGGGCAAGCUUGAUUAGGUACGUCACUAAUUUGUAAACCAAUUGCUGACUAAUAUGCAAAAGUCAGCAAAGAAUCCAGAUCCAGUAUUUCUCGAUGAGAGAGAAAUCGUAGAUGUGCAUUAAGCCUCUUUUCAUA